AAACAUGGGGAGCCGGAAGGCUGAGAGGUAUCACAUGAGAUACGACCCGAGAACCUGAUUUGGAUAAUGCCAACGUAGGGAAGUGCG
rnacentral:ncRNA from 1 species